rnacentral:lncRNA from 1 species
GGAACUUCUGUUGUCAUCCAGUGGCUGAAAUCAACUGGAAGCCUACAGGGAAAGACCUGCCUCCUGGGACACAGAGCAGCAAGAAGGAACACAUUUGCUGAAAACUUUCCAAAUUUUUUCGUUACUGCUGCACCAUCACUAGCUGUUGAUAUCGAUGGAAUUCCUGACCAGUAACAUUUCCAUGAAGAUCAUUACAAUUUAUUUCUUGAAAUUCUGGGAAGGCAUGGAAACAUCACAUUGCAGCAGAUGCUGGGGAUGCAGCAAUGAACAAGACAGGCCAGAUCCCUACUCUCAGAUAAACACAAUGAUCCAGGUCAGUAGGCAUUUGGUAGGAAUCUGCAUCAAACUGUUGGGCAAUGGUAGACAGCAACAUUGACGUCUGUAAAUUUACACUUGGAUUCUUAGUUUCUGAGAGAGGGUCUUGCUAUGUUGUUCAGGCUGGUCUCAAGCUCCUGGGCUCAAGCCAUCCCUCUGCCUCAACCUCCCAAAUUGCUGGGAUUACAGGCAUGGGCAACUGCACCUGGCCCUCUGUUUUCUUUAAGACCAAGAAGUAAGACCUAGAGUGUUGAAAAACGGAUAGUACUGAUAGGGUUGGCUGCAUCCUUCUUCUGAAGGCCACUGCUCUUUUCAGAAGACCUCCCUAGAUGGCUAAGCUCUCUGGGUUGCAACAGUUGCUCUUUUUCCUUGAGCCUUAGGUUAGGGAGUUGGGAGGAAGUAAUGGCUUCCCCCACUGCUAGCUCCAGGGUGCUACACUUUCUCUUUUCUAGUUUCCCUAAUCUGGCUUACACCAUUAUAGAUAGACCCUUUAUUAAAAUAUCCUCAAUUUAUCCAUA